UACAGAGGGUGCAAGCGUUGUUCGGAAUUAUUGGGCGUAAAGGGUGCGUAGGCGGUGCGGUAAGUCUGUAGUGAAAUCUCUGGGCUCAACUCAGAGUCUGCUAUAGAAACUGCCGUGCUUGAGUGUGGGAGAGGUGAGUGGAAUUCCCGGUGUAGCGGUGAAAUGCGUAGAUAGUCGGGAGGAACACCUGUGGCGAAAAGCGGCUCACUGGACCACAACGUGGACGCUGAUGCACGAAAGCCUAGGGGAGCAAACGGG
rnacentral:rRNA from 1 species